UUAAAUUGAAGAGUUUGAUCAUGGCUCAGAUUGAACGCUGGCGGCAGGCCUAACACAUGCAAGUCGAACGGUAACAGGAAGCAGCUUGCUGCUUCGCUGACGAGUGGCGGACGGGUGAGUAAUGUCUGGGAAACUGCCUGAUGGAGGGGGAUAACUACUGGAAACGGUGGCUAAUACCGCAUAACGUCGCAAGACCAAAGAGGGGGACCUUCGGGCCUCUUGCCAUCAGAUGUGCCCAGAUGGGAUUAGCUUGUUGGUGAGGUAACGGCUCACCAAGGCGACGAUCCCUAGCUGGUCUGAGAGGAUGACCAGCCACACUGGAACUGAGACACGGUCCAGACUCCUACGGGAGGCAGCAGUGGGGAAUAUUGCACAAUGGGCGCAAGCCUGAUGCAGCCAUGCCGCGUGUAUGAAGAAGGCCUUCGGGUUGUAAAGUACUUUCAGCGGGGAGGAAGGUGUUGUGGCUAAUAACCGCAGCAAUUGACGUUACCCGCAGAAGAAGCACCGGCUAACUCCGUGCCAGCAGCCGCGGUAAUACGGAGGGUGCAAGCGUUAAUCGGAAUUACUGGGCGUAAAGCGCACGCAGGCGGUCUGUCAAGUCGGAUGUGAAAUCCCCGGGCUCAACCUGGGAACUGCAUUCGAAACUGGCAGGCUUGAGUCUUGUAGAGGGGGGUAGAAUUCCAGGUGUAGCGGUGAAAUGCGUAGAGAUCUGGAGGAAUACCGGUGGCGAAGGCGGCCCCCUGGACAAAGACUGACGCUCAGGUGCGAAAGCGUGGGGAGCAAACAGGAUUAGAUACCCUGGUAGUCCACGCCGUAAACGAUGUCUACUUGGAGGUUGUGCCCUUGAGGCGUGGCUUCCGGAGCUAACGCGUUAAGUAGACCGCCUGGGGAGUACGGCCGCAAGGUUAAAACUCAAAUGAAUUGACGGGGGCCCGCACAAGCGGUGGAGCAUGUGGUUUAAUUCGAUGCAACGCGAAGAACCUUACCUGGUCUUGACAUCCACAGAACUUUCCAGAGAUGGAUUGGUGCCUUCGGGAACUGUGAGACAGGUGCUGCAUGGCUGUCGUCAGCUCGUGUUGUGAAAUGUUGGGUUAAGUCCCGCAACGAGCGCAACCCUUAUCCUUUGUUGCCAGCGAUUAGGUCGGGAACUCAAAGGAGACUGCCAGUGAUAAACUGGAGGAAGGUGGGGAUGACGUCAAGUCAUCAUGGCCCUUACGACCAGGGCUACACACGUGCUACAAUGGCGCAUACAAAGAGAAGCGACCUCGCGAGAGCAAGCGGACCUCAUAAAGUGCGUCGUAGUCCGGAUUGGAGUCUGCAACUCGACUCCAUGAAGUCGGAAUCGCUAGUAAUCGUGGAUCAGAAUGCCACGGUGAAUACGUUCCCGGGCCUUGUACACACCGCCCGUCACACCAUGGGAGUGGGUUGCAAAAGAAGUAGGUAGCUUAACCUUCGGGAGGGCGCUUACCACUUUGUGAUUCAUGACUGGGGUGAAGUCGUAACAAGGUAACCGUAGGGGAACCUGCGGUUGGAUCACCUCCUUACCUUAAAGAAGC
rnacentral:rRNA from 1 species